UGAACUGUCUGUCAAUUCAUAGGAGGAGACGAAGAAAUGCAACAGAGAUUGGAAGUUUGGCCUAUUGGAGUUGGCUGAUUCUCAUUAUGCUGCAGUCUGUAUUGAAGAUGAUCAAGCUAGUGAAGGAGCUCCUCUGAGGGUAAUUGUUCGAAAAACCAUCCCAUUUGUAGAAGAUGAACUUAUUUCUGAAAGCAAAUUUCUUUAGACUUGGGAGUAGUGGAGAGAAAAAGAAGAUGUGUACUAGUAUGGAGUGAUACUACUUCAGACCAUCACAGGCAAGUAGUGACUGCAGGCUCUUCAUAGAUGGGAAGUUUAAAGCUUCAGGUCUGUUCUGUUUCAGUCAGAACAUUACAAAUUUGAAACCUUUAUGCUAUUUAUUGAAGCUGGAGAAGGUUUUAAGAGAUGAACCACAGUACUCAGUAGCUUAGCAGCUCCAUCUGUGAAAGAAUCAUAUUCAUAUGCUUAGUCGCUGAGGAACGGAAUUUCCUAUCAACUGGCUUGGAAUCUGCUGUAUACAAUUCAAGUGCAGCAAGGAUGGAGACCAAGCAGUGGGAAUCAUGAAUCCGCCAUGAAUGCAAUAUAUGAAUAAAAUGUUCAUAAAGAGAGACAAAAAAAGUGUAGAAACAGUAACAAGUGUAUAUGACAUCUUCUAUUAGCUGAA